rfam:Lactobacillus reuteri DSM 20016, complete genome.
AAUACCUUUAACUUAGUCCCGUGAGGCUAGGAAGGAUUUAAUUGAGCGUUUAAGUACACCUUCUUAGCUAUUGCUGAGAAGGUUUUUCUUU